rfam:TPA: Bos taurus chromosome 20, whole genome shotgun sequence.
UCCCUGGUGGCUCAGAGGUUAAAGCAUCUGCCUCCAAUGCAGGAGACCCAGGUUUGAUCCCUGGGUCGGGAA